rnacentral:rRNA from 1 species
UAGUCGAGCGGACAGUAUGUGAGAGCUGGCUCCCUGAUGUUAGCGGCGGACGGGUGAGUAACACGUGGGUAACCUGCCUGUAAGACUGGGAUAACUCCGGGAAACCGGGGCUAAUACCGGAUGGUUGUUUGAACCGCAUGGUUCAAACAUAAAAGGUGGCUUCGGCUACCACUUACAGAUGGACCCGCGGCGCAUUAGCUAGUUGGUGAGGUAAUGGCUCACCAAGGCAACGAUGCGUAGCCGACCUGAGAGGGUGAUCGGCCACACUGGGACUGAGACACGGCCCAGACUCCUACGGGAGGCAGCAGUAGGGAAUCUUCCGCAAUGGACGAAAGUCUGACGGAGCAACGCCGCGUGAGUGAUGAAGGUUUUCGGAUCGUAAAGCUCUGUUGUUAGGGAAGAACAAGUACCGUUCGAAUAGGGCGGUACCUUGACGGUACCUAACCAGAAAGCCACGGCUAACUACGUGCCAGCAGCCGCGGUAAUACGUAGGUGGCAAGCGUUGUCCGGAAUUAUUGGGCGUAAAGGGCUCGCAGGCGGUUUCUUAAGUCUGAUGUGAAAGCCCCCGGCUCAACCGGGGAGGGUCAUUGGAAACUGGGGAACUUGAGUGCAGAAGAGGAGAGUGGAACUUCCACAUGUAGCGGUGAAAUGCGUAGAGAUGUGGAGGAACGCUACUGGCGCAUGUCACCCUCUCGGGUGUUACCGCCCCUUAGGAUCUAAAGCACUGGGAAGGCGAAC